UGUCCUACGGGACGCAGCAGUGGGGAAUAUUGCACAAUGGGGGAAACCCUGAUGCAGCGACGCCGCGUGAGUGAAGAAGUAUUUCGGUAUGUAAAGCUCUAUCAGCAGGAACGAGACAAGACGGUACCUGACUAAGAAGCCCCGGCUAACUACGUGCCAGCAGCCGCGGUAAUACGUAGGGGGCAAGCGUUAUCCGGAAUCACUGGGUGUAAAGGGUGCGUAGACGGGUAUACAAGUUAGUAGUGAAAUCCCUCGGCUUAACUGAGGAACUGCUACUAAAACUAUAUAUCUUGAGUACUGGAGGG
rnacentral:rRNA from 1 species